rnacentral:lncRNA from 1 species
UUAAUUACCAAUUCAUCUGUUGGCAGACUCUUCUGGCAGAUGUACCUGCAACUUGGAAAGAUAACAAAUGAACCAAUUCCUUACUCCAGAGUUGACACUGGUAGUGCUUACUGAAUUUGCUCUCAAAAAAGAAUCCUGGGCAACAAUACAUCUGGCACUCUGCUCGAGGAAUUUGUCAUGUCAUUGACAUGUUCAGCCUCCAUUGUCCACACCACCCUGACAGCAGACCUCUGACUAUGUGAAGAUACGGUGGGAAGAUGACUGACCGCAAGACAGGAAGAGAGCCCUCACCGAGGAACCAAAUUGGCCAGUAUCUUGAUUUUGGAUUUCUCAACCUCAAGAACCAUGAGAAAUGAAUGUCUGCUGUUCAAGCCACCCAGUCAAUGGUAUUUUGUUAUGGCAGCCCCAGC